UACAGAGGGUGCAAGCGUUAUUCGGAAUCACUGGGCGUAAAGAGUUCGUAGGCGGAAUGUUAAGUCUGAUGUGAAAGCCCUGGGCUCAAUCCAGGAAGUGCAUUGGAUACUGGCAAUCUAGAAUGCAGGAGGGGAGAGUGGAAUUCCAGGUGUAGAGGUGAAAUUCGUAGAUAUCUGGAGGAACAACGGAAGCGAAGGCGACUCUCUGGACUGUUAUUGACGCUGAGGAACGAAAGCGUGGGGAGCAAACAGG
rnacentral:rRNA from 1 species